GAUGAAGAACGCAGCGAAAUGCGAUAAGUAAUGUGAAUUGCAGAAUUCAGUGAAUCAUCGAAUCUUUGAACGCACCUUGCGCCCUUUGGCUAUUCCGAAGGGCAUGCCUGUUUGAGUAUCAUGAAAACCUCAACUCUCAUGGCUUGCCAUGAUGAGCUUGGACUCUGGGGGUCUUGCUGGCUUUACGGUCAGCUCCUCUCAAAUAAAUCAGCUUGCCGGUGUUUGGUGGGAUCACAGGUGUGAUAACUAUCUACGCUUGUGGUUUUCCGCCAGGUAACCUUCAGCAAUGGAGGUUCGCUGGAGCUCAUAAAUGUCUCUCCUCAGCGAGGACAGAUUUUGACCGUUUGAUCUCAAAUCAGGUAGGACUACCCGCUUAACUUAAGCAUAUCAAUAAGCGGAGGA
rnacentral:misc_RNA from 1 species